GAUGAACGCUAGCUACAGGCUUAACACAUGCAAGUCGAGGGGAAACGAUAGAGAAAGCUUGCUUUUUCUAGGCGUCGACCGGCGCACGGGUGAGUAACGCGUAUCCAACCUGCCCAUCACUUGGGGAUAACCUUGCGAAAGUAAGACUAAUACCCAAUGACGUCUCUAGAAGACAUCUGAAAGAGAUUAAAAGAUUUAUCGGUGAUGGAUGGGGAUGCGUCUGAUUAGCUUGUUGGCGGGGUAACGGCCCACCAAGGCGACGAUCAGUAGGGGUUCUGAGAGGAAGGUCCCCCACAUUGGAACUGAGACACGGUCCAAAACUCCUACGGGAGGCAGCAGUGAGGAAUAUUGGUCAAUGGACGAGAGUCUGAACCAGCCAAGUAGCGUGCAGGAUGACGGCCCUAUGGGUUGUAAACUGCUUUUAUAAGGGAAUAAAGUGAGUCUCGUGAGACUUUUUGCAUGUACCUUAUGAAUAAGGACCGGCUAAUUCCGUG
rnacentral:rRNA from 1 species